rnacentral:rRNA from 1 species
AACCUGCUUGUGGAUCAUU